rnacentral:rRNA from 1 species
ACCGAACGCUGGCGGCAGGCCUAACACAUGCAAGUCGAACUCCCCCCAAGGGGAGUGGCAGACGGGUGAGUAACGCGUGGGAAUUUCCCCCGAGGUUCGGAAAUAACUGAGGGAAACUUCAGCUAAUACCGGAUGGUGCCGAGAGGCUAAAGAUUUAUCGCCUUGGGAUAAGCCCGCGUUGGAUUAGUCUAGUUGGUGAGGUAMCGUCCCACCAAGGCUUCGAUCCAUAGYUGGUSUGAGAGGUCGGACCACCCACACUGGGACUGAGACWCGGCCCAGACUCCUACRGGGAGCCAGCAGUGGGGARUCUUGGACAAUGGAGGCAACUCUGAUCCAGCCAUGCCGCGUGGGUGAUAAGGUCUUCKGAUUGUAAAGCCCUUUCGGCGGGGACGAUAAUGACGGUAYCCGCAGAAGAAGCUUCCGGCUAACUUCGUGC